UUGAAAGUGUUAAUAUUGAAGUGUUUAGAAGUGUAUAAGUGUAAAGCAGUGUACCUAAUUUAAGACUUAAGUGUUAGGGCCUCAUUAACAGGACUAAUAUUAUAAUACAUUUUAUGAUUAAAAAUUAAAAUUAAAAACUCAAGCUGCUAAAAAAGUAUUCAAAUCUAUGGAUCAUGGCUUCUACUAAUCGCAAUCCUAUUUUCCAAAUUUUAAAAUUAUUCUAAUUUUUUCCACUCUUUGCCAAGGUCAAGCAAAUCUCACCGAAAAUGAUCAAAUGCCAGCUUUAUACAAAUUCGAUAAUUAUAAUGACUGUGUAAAUCGUGCUAACACUGAACCAUCAUAUCCUGCAAAAUAUUGUAUGGUAUUCGUACAACUACAGCCGAAUAAUGACUCCUCAGUAUGGCAUGAAAUUGAACUAUUAAGUUCAAAUAAAUUUAAAUUUCGUCAUGAUCAUCUCUUUCGGGGAGUUUGUCUGGAGAAAUGUAAAGAUUUUCUUGAAGAUAAUGUGAUGAAGCUGACUCACAAAUGGCUUAUUAACUAAUGAGCACACAGAAAUGUUGAAUUAGCUCACCAUACGCCACUGGAUCAUACUAUGCGUUAUCAUUAUCAUAGUAAUAUCCAUGAAUGUGUUAAUCAGGAAUAUAUGGAGAAGCAUAAUUUAAGUACAAAGACAUUUGUUAUUUAUUGUGUGGAUCCAGAUGAACGUAG